AUGAGAUCCCGCUCUACUCGCAGCACUUCACUCGGCACCGUCUCCCUCCAAUUACGGAGGUGGCGGCGAUUGGUAUAUGGACACGGGGGCUACCGCCCACAUGACGUCGCACCCCGGACGCCCGUACACGGAUGGUGCUCCACCGAUGUGACAGCCCCGACGACUUAUACCCGGUGCACUCCACCUCCACCGCCACCGCCUCACCAGUCGCCCUCGCCGCCGGUGUCGACCUCUGGCACGCACGCGUGGGUCAUCCCAACUCCACCGUCCUUCGCCAGAUUCUCAAGAGUUUUUCAUUUUCGUGUAAUAAAUACGAUGAGCACACUUGUCAUGCUUGCCGUCUCGGCAAGCACGUUCAUCGACCAUUUAGCGAGUCAAACACUAUCUCUUCUUUUCCGUUUCAGUUAA
rnacentral:rRNA from 1 species